ACGCAGUCGGACUUAGAUGGAUUUGGGGAUGCUAUUGGACGUGUUUGUUGGAUGUGUCCGCAAAGCACCGUUAUGGAGUCGCAUUCAUCAUCGGAGGAGGUAACACAGUACAUUGUGCAUGCUAUGGUUGGAUGCGUCGAUGUAGAUGCUAGUAUCAUGUUCGCGCCAAUCUUUCAAGAGUAAUAUUCUUUCUUAAUAUCUACAAAUAUUUAUUGUUGCAUGAUAUGUGAUUUUUUAAGUAAUUAUUGUUAUUUAAUCUUGCAAUAGCCAACAUUGGAUGCUCCUUGUCAUAUGUCCCUUGCCCGGGAUAGUUUAUACCUUCGAUUCUGCCAGCUUUCACAAACAGCGGAAGUUAAAGCUUAAAUUGCCUAUGAUAGCUGCUUUUAGGAGGUUUCGGAUGAGCGGCCACAAAGUUCGUCGAGAGAAGCUUUUGUGGAAAUAUGUUGAGUGCCCGCAACAACAAGGAGGCACGGAGUGCGGUUAUUUUGUGAUGUGGUACAUUUUUGACGUACUCACUUCAUAUUUU